rnacentral:rRNA from 1 species
GUCAAGUACAAAGAGCAUCGGGUGGAUGCCUUGGCACUGGGAGCCGAUGAAGGACGUGAUAAGCUGCGAUAAGCUGCGGUAAGGAGCACAUAUCCGAUAUACCCGCAGAUUUCCGAAUGGGGGAACCCACAUACGGUAAUGCGUAUGUAUCAUUAAGUGAAUACAUAGCUUAAUGAAGGGAACGGGGUGAACUGAAACAUCUAAGUAGCCCUAGGAAGAGAAAGAAAAAUCGAUUUCCUGAGUAGCGGCGAGCGAAAGGGAAAGAGGCCAAACCAAAUUGUUUACAGUUUGGGGUUGUGGACCACCGACAUUGACGAAGUUAUGCGAGCCGAAUAGGGUUGGAAAGCUCAAGCAGAGAAGGUAAUACUCCUGUAGGCGAAGCAGAAAGCGCAUAGGUGGCACCAGAGUAGGACCGGACACGUGUAACCCGGUCUGAAGCAGGAGGGACCACCCUCCAAGCCUAAAUACUACCCAGUGACCGAUAGCGAAUAGUACCGUGAGGGAAAGGUGAAAAGAACCCCGGGAGGGGAGUGAAAUAGAAUCUGAAACCUGAUGCUUACAAGCAUAGGGAGCGCAAGUGACCUAGUACUUUUUGUAGAACGGGCCAACGAGUUAUGGUAUGUAGCGAGGUUAAGUUGCUGGAGCAACGGAGCCGUAGAGAAAUCGAGUCUGAAUAGGGCGAGAGUUACAUGCUGUAGACCCGAAACCGGGUGACCUAUCCAUGAGCAGGUUGAAGUAACCGUAAAAGGUUAUGGAGGACCGAACCUAUAUCUGUUGAAAAAGGUUAGGAUGACUUGUGGAUAGCGGUGAAAUUCCAAUCGAACUCGGAUAUAGCUGGUUCUCCUCGAAAUAGCUUUAGGGCUAGCCUCAAGGUAAAGAUACACGGGGGUAGAGCACUGACUGUUCGCGGGGCCUUCACCGGUUACCAACAACUAUCAAACUCCGAAUACCGUGCUAUCAUACUUGGGAGUCAGACUAUGAGAGAUAAGUUCCAUGGUCGAAAGGGAAACAGCCCAGAUCAACAGCUAAGGUCCCAAAGAGUAAGUUAAGUGGAAAAGGAUGUGGGAUUGCACAAACAGCUAGGAUGUUGGCUUAGAAGCAGCCAUACAUUUAAAGAGUGCGUAAUAGCUCACUAGUCGAGUGAUCCUGCGCCGAAGAUAAACGGGGCUCAAACUUACCACCGAAGCUUUGGAAUUAGUAUAACUAAUUGGUAGAGGAGCAUUCUAUACAGGUAGAAGGAGGCGCGUAAGCAAAUCUGGACGGUAUAGAAGAGAGAAUGUUGGCAUGAGUAGCGUAAGGCGGGUGAGAAUCCCGUCCGCCGAAAAUCUAAGGUUUCCUGAGGAAGGUUCGUCCUCUCAGGGUAAGUCGGGACCUAAGCCGAGAGCGAACGCUGUAGGCGAUGGACAACAGGUUGAUAUUCCUGUACCACCAAGGAUUGUUUGAAUGAAGUGGGGACACAGAAGGAUAGAUUGAGCACGCCGUUGGUUGAGCGUGUCCAAGCAGCAAGGCUUGAAAGUAGGCAAAUCCGCUUUCUACAAGGCUGAGCUGUGAUGGGGUGGUCGUAUGACCGGUAGCAAUCGAUUUCACGCUGUCAAGAAAAGCCGCUAAUGAGAUCCAAGGUGCCCGUACCGCAAACCGACACAGGUAGAUGAGGAGAGAAUCCUAAGGUGAGCGAGCGAACUAUUGUUAAGGAACUCGGCAAAAUAACCCCGUAACUUCGGGAGAAGGGGUGCCUGCUUCGGCAGGCCGCAGUGAAGAGGUCCAGGCAACUGUUUACCAAAAACACAGGUCUCUGCUAAAGCGAAAGCUGAUGUAUAGGGGCUGACGCCUGCCCGGUGCUGGAAGGUUAAGGGGAAGUGUUAGGGCAACCGAAGCACAGAACUUAAGCCCCAGUAAACGGCGGCCGUAACUAUAACGGUCCUAAGGUAGCGAAAUUCCUUGUCGGGUAAGUUCCGACCCGCACGAAAGGCGUAAUGA